GACGAACGCUGGCGGCGUGCUUAACACAUGCAAGUCGAACGGAAAGGCCCGGCGUUUGUGCGGCUCUCGAUUGGCGAACGGGUGUGUAACACGUGAGUAACCUGCCCUUAACUUUGGGAUAACUUCACGAAACUGGGGCUAAUACCGGAUAGGAUCUCCUGCUGCAUGGUGGUGGUUGGAAAGUUUCGGCGGUUGGGGAUGGUCUCGCGGCUUAUCGGCUUGUUGGUGGGGUAGUUGCUUACCAGGCCUUUGACGGGUAGCCGGCCUGGGAGGGGGACCGGCGACAUUGGGACUGAGAGACGGCCCAGAAUGCUACCGGCGGCAGCAGUGGGAAAUCUUGCGCAACGGGCGGACGCCUGUUGCAGCAACCUCGCGUGCGGGAUGACGUCCUUCGGGUUGUAAACCGCUUUCGCCUGUGCCGAAGAGUGAGUGACGGUAAUGGGUAAAGAAGCACCGGCUAACUACGUG
rnacentral:rRNA from 1 species